rnacentral:lncRNA from 13 species
GGAUGGAUGGAUGGAGGGAUGGAUGGAUGGUGACAAGAAGAGGGGACAAUCAGGCCAUUUUGCUCCUCCGUGGUGUGUCUGACCCUCAUCCCGAGCCGAUUCCCGGGAGCCAGGGGGGACAUCCCUGCGCUGCCCGGCGGUGCCAGGCUCCGCUCUGGGCUCCAGGGGGUCGGCAGCUACCGCCUGGCGCUGCAGAGGAUGGUGGGGGACCUGCUGUCCCUGCGCCGCCGCGUCGCCAGCCUGGAGGCAGAGAACGGGCACCUGCGGCACAGCCUGGCACAGCUCCGGGAGCCGGGCCAGCUCCGCGACACCGACCUGGACGUCAUGACCCGGGAGGAGCUGCAGGACAGGCUCGGUGAGCGCCGGGCACGGGCAGGGGCCCGCUGGCACUGCCACCUCCGGCCGGUGACCGGGACGUGACGCGUCCUUGCAGCCACCCUGGCCCGCGAGCUGGCAGCCGGCACGGCGGAGAUGAGGGGGCUGAGGGAUCGCGUCCAGCGGCUGCAGAACGAGCUGAUCCGGAAAAACGACCGGGAGAAGGAGCUGGUGCUGCUGCAGCGGUGCCACCGGCAGCAGCAGCUGGCACUGAGGAGGUGCCAGGACAGGGUGGCCAAGGCCAGGGGACUGGAGCAGGCGCUGCGGCAGCAGGAGAAGGUGAUCGAGGCCAUGGAGCGGGUGCUGCGGGAGAAGCCGGCCGGGCUGGGCAGGAGCACGGAGAGAGCCGCGGGUGGGUUCAGGAGGGGACAGGGACCCUCAGGGAUGCCCCCAACCCUCAAGGAUGUCCCCAAGCCAGCUGGGAGCUCCCUGGGAUGGUCCAGGGCAGGAGCAUGGAGGGACCCGCGGGUGGGUGCGGAGGGGACAGGGACCCUCAGGGAUGUCCCCAAGCCUCCCUGCCGUGAUCCAUGCCAGGGGAUCCGUCAUUCCCGAGCCCCUCAGCCCCAAUCCCCGGGCAUGGGAGUGGCCGGGGCUCGCUGUCGGCCCCAUCCCUGCUCGGCGAGAGGCACAGGACACGUCCCGCUGUCCCCCCACGCCACCCCACAGGUGACAGCCUCUGCGGUGACGCGCUGGCCGCGCUGCUGGCCGAGAACCGGCGGCUGCGGGAGGAGCUGGCCAGACCCCCCCGGGCCGCGGCCGCCGCUGCCCCGCGGGCCCCGGCGCUGCUGGUGAGACUGGGGAGGGGACACGGGGCUGGCACAAGGGACAGAGCCGGCAAACAGCACCGGGGGCGUCUCCUGGGGGGCACCGCCGGCUCCGUGGGGCGGCAGCAGCGGGGAGGGGGGCGAUGCAGCACCGCCUUUGCCAGUCCCGCUCCUUCCGUGCCCACAGGGCGUCCUGGGGGGCACGGAGAAGCUGUGGCUGCUGGCCAGGCUGGAGGAGGCACAAGCCCGCGGGCGGGCGCUGGAGAGGCAGCUGGAGGAGGCGGCCAGGAGGUGGGGCCGGGAGAAGCAGGAGCUGGGGACGCGCCUGCUGGAGCGGGAGCACGGCCUCCCCCUGGCCUCGAAGCUGCCAGCGAUUUCCGUGCCCCCCCGGAGGCCACGCCAGGCGCUGCCCCCCCUGCCCUGAGCGCGCAGAGACGGAGACACCCAGGGCUGGCGCAGAGGAGCUUUUCCAUGGGAUCAGCGACAGAGGGAAUCACGGGCGAAGCGGAACAUUCCCGGGGGUCAGAGGAGCGCGGCCGCGGUCCCGGUGUGAGCCCGGGGACCCCCACGGAGCCGGAGGGACCCCGCGCCCAUCCCGCGCUCCGUGGGGUGGCUCCGCUUUAUCUCCGCCGUGGCGUAAGCGCAGCCUUGAGCCAAGGCGGGGACGCGGCCGCCAAGGAUGUGGCCCUGAAAGCGUCCCAGCUGUCCCCAAACCCCAUCGCGGGGCCGGGACGCGGGGGGUGCCCCCAGAGGGGGUCGGGCUGGGUGUCACUGGGGCGGCGGCGCUCACGCCUGGCACUCCAGGGGCCGCAGGGUCAGCUGGAUGGGUUUGUCCGGGAUCAGGAUGAGGUCGAACUUGGUCCCGAUUUCCACGGCUCUCAUGGUUUCGAUCUUGAAGUUCUCCAGGAUCUGGGGUGAAGCAGGAUAAGAGGGCAUGGAGCUGGAUGGGGUUGGGUGUGGGGCAAGGUGUCCCUGCCCCCCCGAACCAUCCCACGGCUCCCUGGGAGCAGACGCCCGCUGGCCGCCCGCCCCGCUGUCCCCUGCCGUCCGC